rnacentral:lncRNA from 1 species
AAAAAAAGGAAUGACUAAAUAAAAUACAGGAUUUACCAUCAGAAACAGAACAGCUGACAAAGCUACAAGUGAGCUGAAUCAGCUCAUCGCUGACACUGUUUAAUUAUUGAUUUAUUAAUUAGAUCUUUACACAGUUACUCUUCUGUUUCUGAGCAGGGACUGAGCUUAAACCCUGCAGAGACUCAGUAUGGACCAGGAACCAAUCAAACCAGGGCUGGAGCUGAUGAUGGCAUUUCCUACGUCUCCAUCAGCUUCACCAAGAGGCCCAAGAACAAAGCCCGGGUGAGAUUUUUAAUAUUUGUUGGUGUUAGCAGCAAUGUUCCCUCUAAUUUUUUAUGUGUCUGAGCGAACACACAAACUCCCUGAGUGAUCCCGUGGACCACUGUGAGCGACAUUAGACGUGUGCACUGUGGUCACACCAGCGUUGAAUCCAUCCAAGUUACAUGGUUUAUUAAAAUAAUAAAAUUACAGCAUUUACAUUUAUGUUAGACUACUUUUAAUUAACUGCUUUAGCCCACUUACAAUGAAAAUGUAAAAAAAAUCUUGUUCCUGACCUGUGUAGUAUGUUAACACUAUUUGAAGUAAAAAUAACUUGAACUCCAAUUUUGAAAACACAACUUUCUUUGUUUUUUUAAAAUAAAACUCUGACUUGUAUUAUGAGUAUGAGUCUGUGGUCUGGGAGAGAGUCCUGUAACUCUCUGUCUGCAAAAUACAGUAUAUAAUGACCAAUGUUGGGCAAUUAAUUAUAUAGUUACUUCUUCAAAAAAGUUACUGAGUUUUGCAAACAACAAAGUUUUUUGCAGCUGUUUACCUAAAAAUGCAGCCAAAGCGGUUUUUUUAAAUAAACAUUUCAAACUAUUUACAGAACAAUCAGCUGUUCUGCAUCAAAUCUGAUGCCACACAAAUUAUUUGUGCCACUCCAAAAAAUAAUUUCUGUCCACUAUGAGAUAAAGGAGAACAACAGCCUGAUACCUGCAGGCCUGACAACAGGAGAUGUAUCACUCCUGUAACACCUGUAACAUUCAGCAGCCGCCUCAUUGUUCUGACACACACAACAAAACUAUUGACUACACUACACACUAACUACACAAGAUUUGCGCUAAACGUUGCAAAUCUCUCACAUCUCAAAACACCAUCGUCACUCCGAAAACUUCA